rnacentral:lncRNA from 1 species
CGGAAAUAACGGAAAUAACGGAAAUAACGGAAAUAACCUCGACAGAGACAGAAACUUACGGCAGAAAAUUACGUGACAGGUCAAGAACAACAAUGGAAAGAACGGAAAGAACCUCUAGAGAGACAGAAACAUACGGCAAAAACUUAGGUGACAGGUCAAGAACAGCUACGGAAAUAACGGAAAUAACAAAAAUAACAGAAAAAACGGAAAGAACGGAAAGAACGGAAAGAACCUUCAGAGAGACAGAAACAUACGGCAGAAAAUUAGGUGACAGGUGAAGAACAACAACGGCAAUAACAGAAAAAAAACGAAAUAACGGUAAUAGAAACAGAAAUAACAGAAAUAAUAAAGGAAAUAUCAAAAAUAAUAACACAAAUAAGAACGGAAAUAAGAGCAGAAAUAACGGAAAUAAUAACGGAAAUAAUAACCUAAAUAACGGAAAUAACGGAAAUAACGGAAAUAACGGAAAUAACCUCCACAGAG